UUUAGUGUGGCAGAAUUUUAAUGCAAUGAGCUUAAAAUUCAUGUAUAAAUACUUAUAUUUCACUAAAA
rnacentral:tRNA from 1 species